rnacentral:rRNA from 1 species
UACGAAGGGGGCUAGCGUUGCUCGGAAUCACUGGGCGUAAAGGGUGCGUAGGCGGGUCUUUAAGUCAGGGGUGAAAUCCUGGAGCUCAACUCCAGAACUGCCUUUGAUACUGAGGAUCUUGAAUUCGGGAGAGGUGAGUGGAACUGCGAGUGUAGAGGUGAAAUUCGUAGAUAUUCGCAAGAACACCAGUGGCGAAGGCGGCUUACUGGCCCGAUACUGACGCUGAGGCACGAAAGCGUGGGGAGCAAACAGG